UGACUCUGGUUUCUCUUCAGAUCAUAUAAAUCUUUCACCUUUUACUAAAGAUUUCCGUGGAGAGCAACAUUUAUGAGUAGGUGCUUAUAGGUAAGUGCUUAUAAUAUAAUAGAUU